GGAUUAGAUACCCUGGUAGUCCACGCCGUAAACGAUGUCUACUUGGAGGUUGUGGCCUUGAGCCGUGGCUUUCGGAGCUAACGCGUUAAGUAGACCGCCUGGGGAGUACGGUCGCAAGAUUAAAACUCAAAUGAAUUGACGGGGGCCCGCACAAGCGGUGGAGCAUGUGGUUUAAUUCGAUGCAACGCGAAGAACCUUACCUACUCUUGACAUCCAGAGAAUCCUGCGGAGACGUGGGAGUGCCUUCGGGAACUCUGAGACAGGUGCUGCAUGGCUGUCGUCAGCUCGUGCCG
rnacentral:rRNA from 1 species